GCGCGGCGGGCCCGCCGCCCGCGGUCCUAAUGCCGGCCCCUCCCCGGGACGCGCCGGCCCGCAGCCCGCAGCCCGCCAUCCUCGCCAGCCAGGUUGGCCGCGCCGGCCCCGCGCGCUGAUUGGAUAGAGAGGGGGCUCGACGGUGGCCGACACGGGACAGCCUGGCUGUGGCAGGGGUCUUGGAAACCAUGGGUUAUUGCAGCGGCAGGUGCACGCUUAUCUUUAUCUGUGGCAUGCAACUGACAGCAGGCAGCGCCUGACUCUUGAGUGCUGUCCAGAUGACUCCUGUUUCUUCUGAACCAUGGGAAUCACUGCUUCUCAGAACAGCAUUUGGUUGCAGGUUUGUGUGCUGGAGAGGCAAAUAUUCGACUUCCUUGGAUACCAGUGGGCACCUAUCCUCGCAAAUUUUGUACAUAUUAUUAUCGUCAUUCUUGGCCUAUUUGGAACUAUUCAGUAUAGACCUCGUUACAUAACAGGAUACGCCAUCUGGCUGGUCCUCUGGGUUACGUGGAAUGUGUUUGUGAUCUGCUUCUACUUGGAGGCUGGGGACCUCUCAAAGGAAACAGACCUCAUCCUGACUUUCAACAUUUCGAUGCAUCGAUCCUGGUGGAUGGAAAAUGGCCCGGGAUGCAUGGUGACUUCGGUGACGCCCGCGCCCGACUGGGCCCCAGAGGACCAUCGCUACAUCACGGUCUCGGGAUGCCUGCUGGAGUACCAGUACAUAGAGGUGGCUCACAGCUCCCUCCAGCUCCUCCUGGCACUGGCAGGGUUCGUCUAUGCCUGCUAUGUUGUGAAAUGUAUAACUGAGGAAGAGGACAGCUUUGACUUCAUAGGCGGCUUUGACUCUUAUGGCUAUCAAGGGCCUCAGAAAACAUCACACUUACAACUACAGCCCAUGUACAUGCAAAUUCCCUUGGAUAACAACUGAUACCCCAUUCUAUAUAUCAGCAUCAAGUGGUAUGCUGAAUUGCAAGCGAAGAUCAAAAUAGAAAGUCAAAAUGAAACAGAGGACUUCAGUAUGUCAGCCCAUGGACCUCUCAAAGAACUUGUUCCGCAGUGGCCUCCUGUGUUUUACAAAGAACAAGAAGCAAAUGAAUUUUAAUAUAGAUACAUAAGAACAGAGCACACACAGGUUUCUACACACACACACACACACACACACACACACACACACACCACUUCCACUCAGUCUCGGCCCAAUAUGGAGGUCACGCCCACCCUGGAUUUCCUGAGAGCAGGCUCUUUCUCCUAAGGCCUUUGACAGUUCCACAGGAGAUGCACUGGUGUCCUCGCCUGGCCCUACGCACUUCCUACCGCCCAGCUGUCGGCCUCUGCUGGCUGGGAGUCUCCAGGGCCCUGCCUCGGACAGCCCUGUUUCUGCACUCUGUAGAUCUCCAUAGCACCACAGCUACUUAGGCAACGUAAUUACAAAACCAGACACCGAGACCUUGUACCCGACAUCCACAGUGGCAGGUUGCUGGCCCCAAAGGCUGUGCCGUCCACACUCGCCUUAACCCACCUACAUUGUGUGUAGACCCCAAGCCACGUCCUUAGGCUACCACACUGCUGUGCAUUCUGAGCGAGCUGGAGUGUGUGAUUUGUAUCAAGGAAGGAGACAGACCAGCUCAGUAGCUCUCAUGAGUCUGUAAGGAAACUGCUGGCAGUCAGCCAAGGGCUUUCCUACGGAGCCCCCACGGCGGCCAACAGAGACAGGAACCAGCAACCAGCAUAGUAAGCGUCAUCUUUAGAACCCUUCAAUAUGGUCUUCUCAUGGGGUCGGGGUGGGACAAAGUAAAAUUCAUUAAUCUACUAUACUCAUUAAUCUACUGAAGCAGAGAUGGCUUAAGUCACUACUUUUAUUUAUUGCACUCUAGGUGCUUUUAUAUCUACAGAUGUCUUUUACUAACACAGAGAACAGCUGUGGGUUUCUAGCGACAGAGGCCAACUGACUAUGUAUUAGCUAUGUUUACUCUUUUAUAUCUACUUCAAACUGAAGACCCAAUGUAGGUGAACUUUCUUUUCUAACUUUGGUGUACGAGAUUAUUUUUGGGGUGGGUGGGUGGGGAACCAUAGUUACCUUGGUGAAAUAUCUGAGAUCUCUUUGUGGUAUUGGGGGAUCUGUUGUGUGUUAGAGUGUAUUUCAAUUCUCCUGUAUUAUUGUGGCAGAAAAAAAAAAAAAGACUGUGCUGUUAUAACGUAGUUGGCAACAAGAUGCCUUUGGAAACUUAAUAGUAGGUCAAUGUGUUUAUGAAAUACUCUGAACUCCUAGGAAAUUUUGCUUUAUAAUUCCAAGCAUUAUUUGGUUUUCAUUAGUGAGAAACAUAAUUAGCUCAGGCUUAUCAGUAACAGACCAGUUAUUUUUUUUCUUGGAGACCACUAAAAUCAAUUUUUGUUUAGGCUAACUUCACACCAUAUUUAAGUGCAGUGAAAUUCAGACUGGGAUAGUUAUAAAUUGGCAUGGAGCGACUUUUUCCUUUGGUUUCUGCGAAGUUUUAGUUGUUGGGUUAACCUCCUUUGGACCUUAGCCCAUUCAGAUCUCCAUGUAACGGUCCCAUAUCUGUGUUUGCAUGAAUGUUUAUAAUACACAUACACACUUAUAGAUUCAAAAAGGAUAAAAGAGCAAAAAGUUACCACUGAAACAUAAACCAUAAAAGAACAAAGAUUCUAGCAUUCAUGCUUGAACUUUCUCAAUGGCUUGUGUAUAUUUGUCCAUACAUACAUGUAUAAAAUACACAACUCAAUACAUCAGUGAAACCUCAUUCAAUGCUUUGAUAGUAACAUGCAUGUUUAAUGUAUGUAUGAAAAAAUACUGACCACUGUAUUUCCCUUUGACGCCUAAGUUAUAAAUACUAUACAUGCCAGAAACUAUUCUAAUGUGACGAUUAAUGUGACUCUUACCAUGAGGUUUCACUGUCUAUCCCUGGAACGAGAGUCCGCCUUCCAGCACAUGUGUAUGGAUACAGAAAAUAAGCCCUCAUCCUCCCAAUUUGCAAUGCAGCCAAUCACCACUUUCAUCACCACCAAAAUUUUCAAAAACAGUUGUUGACUACUAAAAAGUGAAUCAGUGGACAGGCUUUCAUAGGAGCGCUAAGCACAGUAGUGUGAUUCUAUCUGGGAAAACAUCUAAGUUGUACAGCUGAAUCCUCCUCAAAUUCUGGUGAAGAAUGCUAUUUUUCUAGGCUGAGCUUUUGUUAUAAACCUAAUAUUCAGAAGGCAAGAGUUGCAAUCCUGAUGUGUCUUUUUUUUGCAUUUGUUAAUUCUGAAUGUAUUUUUAACAGAGUGAUUUUUUUGACUUACUAGUGUAAUUUGCAUUUUAAAAAUAAAUGGAAAAACAA